AAGAUACUAGUAUAAGUAAUACUCUGCCUUGUCAAGACAACGUUGCGGGUUGAAACCCCGCGUAUCUUA
rnacentral:tRNA from 1 species